AUGCAGCUUGUUCGGACCGGGAGCACGACAAUCAACAUUGGGGAGUUCGGCCCCUUCUUCAAGUCCUUGUGCGGGGUCAGGCAAGUGGAUCCUAUUUCCCCUCCCCUUUUCAACCUCGUGGUGGACGCCCUAGCGAUCAUCCUCGAUAAGGCGAGGAUGGACGGCCAUCUCACCGAGGGUGGUGGGUCACCUUAUCCCUGGGGAGGAGUCACUUACCUAGAAUAUGCGGAUGAUACCAUGAUUAUGGUUGAGGGCUAUGACCUGGGCAUCGUCAAUCUGAAAUUCCUCCUCCUUUGCUUCGAAGCCAUGUCUGGGCUUAAGAUAAAUUUGUUGGAAAUGUGCCCUAGAGGCAAUAAUAAAAUGGUUAUUAUUAUAUUUCCUUGUUCAUGA
rnacentral:rRNA from 1 species